UACAGAGGGGGCAAGCGUUGUUCGGAAUUACUGGGCGUAAAGGGCGCGUAGGCGGCCUGUUAAGUCGAACGUGAAAUCCCCCGGGCUCAACCCGGGAACUGCGUCCGAUACUGGCAGGCUUGAAUCCGGGAGAGGGAUGUGGAAUUCCAGGUGUAGCGGUGAAAUGCGUAGAUAUCUGGAGGAACACCGGUGGCGAAGGCGGCAUCCUGGACCGGUAUUGACGCUGAGGCGCGAAAGCUAGGGGAGCAAACGGG
rnacentral:rRNA from 1 species